ACUGCGUAUGCUGAAGGAGAACUGACGUUCAUGACCAAGUUGCUUUCAAGGGCAGUUCAAAGUGUUGGCUGACAAGGCUGUGCUUGGCUGAUACUUUCCUUUUGGAGUAUAUUCUGUCAUUGCUGGCAUGGUGCAUUCACCAUAUGACCUGUCAUUCUCCAGACAACCUCCAAGGGAGGUAUUACCAUCACCAUGUUACAGAUGAAGAAACUGAAGCUAACAAAGUUGAGAAAACAUAAACAUAGAAGAAGAGAAUCUGCUCACUUUUAACUCCUUCCUACACAGGAAAAAGAUCCCAUUCACUAAUGCUUUAACAAUUGCAAGACCCACCCACAAGCCUGACGUCUUUUCUCUCAAAUCUCCUCUUCCAGCUUGGAAGAGGAUCCUGAGCCUCAGAUGGGAAUGUAUUCCUGACCAACACCUGAAUCGCAGCCUUGUGAGAUCCUGAACAGAGGACCCAGUUAAGCCAGGCUCAGACUCCUGACCCCCUGGAAACUGUGGGGUAAGAUGCUACUUUUUGUGGUAACUGACUCCUGAGAUUAAAAGGACAGGAAAACAAAGAAAAAUUAAGAGAAAUAUAGAAGAAGGCAUAUGAAGGACCAGGAUGCAGGAUGAGAAGACCAACAUCUCCAAUAAUUUUCCAGAAAAAGCUGGGGACUCUGAAGCCAGUCACUUCCUUCCGUGGCUCUCAUCUUACUCAACCUCAUACAUCAAC